rnacentral:rRNA from 1 species
GACGAACGCUGGCGGCGUGCUUAACACAUGCAAGUCGAGCGGUAAGGCCCUUUCGGGGGUACACGAGCGGCGAACGGGUGAGUAACACGUGGGUGACCUGCCCUCAGCUCUGGGAUAAGCCUGGGAAACCGGGUCUAAUACUGGAUAUGACUCCAUGACGCAUGUUGUGGGGUGGAAAGCCUUGUGCGGCUGAGGAUGGGCCCGCGGCCUAUCAGCUUGUUGGUGGGGUGAUGGCCUACCAAGGCGACGACGGGUAGCCGGCCUGAGAGGGCGACCGGCCACACUGGGACUGAGACACGGCCCAGACUCCUACGGGAGGCAGCAGUGGGGGAAUCUUGCGCAAUGGGCGAAAGCCUGACGCAGCGACGCCGCGUGAGGGAUGACGGCCU